ACCGCUGAUAUGUACCUUGGGUAUUUUUUAUAUUAACAUCAACAGUUAGGGGUGAAGAAUGGAACAUUUCAUUUUGCAUGACAACUUGGUAAUUUGAAAUAUACUUUUAUAAUCAUAUUACUGUACAAGGGAUGUUUAUCUUGCACUUGUGAAUAGGGAUUUUCUGGACCAAACAACUGUUUGGCUCAAUUGAUUUGUACAUGAAGUUGACAUCCUCUUACUUUUGUUUCACAUCCAAGUCUUUCCUACAAACCUGUAUUGUCCAACAAGAUGAGGGAUUUUAACUUUGUUAAUUAAAAAUUUCUUUUCUAUGGUAGAAAUGUGAUUCUCGAACAAUUAAGAGCUGCCAAGGUAGUGAAACGGCACAUGAAUAAAUCAUCUUCUCAGAGGGAACAAGGUUUGACGAACCAAGACAUUGAUUAUGGAUGUUCUAAUGAAAUUCAGCUGUGACAUUGAAGUUUAUUUUGUGCCGUUGAUGUUGUCCUGUUUCGUUACAUUCUGAUUUGUUUCUAAAGUGACAAAAGUUGAAGUUUCCCUGAAGUAGUCACUCAAGAAUAAUGUGGAGCACUCCCCAGUUGCACAAGUGACCUCUACAUACUGGAGAGCUGUCCAUAAGCUACUCCAGAUCCAGAACACCAUUUCAGAGUCCCAGAAGCACCAGCAUUCUGUAUUGCUAUUUGAUUCCCUACAACAGCGGUCCUCCAUGCACCAACUGGUCUGUUUAUGCUGUCUCCUUGCUACUCAUUCUCAUAUACACCACACUAAUAAGCGUGAACGAGAACAUCAACAACCCCCCCCUCCCCUCAAAAAAAAAAAAAAAAAACACACACACGCAUUUUAUCCAGCAUCUGUAAGAAUAUGAGCAUGUACAAUCACACUUCAGAGUAUGGAAGGUUUUGUUUGAGCAAUUUGCAGAGAACGAAAAUGCUUUGGUGGGAAGGCUACCCACUUCAGAAAUUGUUGUUGAAAAUCUUCCAUUGGUGUUUGUGGAUUACAACAAUGCACUUUGUGUGGUUUGUAAGGAUGAUACAAAAAUUGGGGAACAAGGAAAGCAGCUACCUAGUUCACUCCUUUACCAAAGAGCAUGUCAUGUGCAGUAAAGUAUUUUAAGCUCAGGUUUAAUCUUGAAGUUUUUUUUCAUGAGCAUCAGAUUGUAUCCAUUGUAGAUGAUGAUUUCAUUAUGCAAAUCACUUAUAUUUUCAUCAUUGUAGAUAAUUAUGUUUUGCCCCAUGUGUAAUUUACCUCUUGACAAAUGAGCAUGUAAUUUUCUUA